ensembl:lncRNA
GAGUCUGUUGCCACCACCUCUCUCUGGUUUGUUCCUGCUACUUUAUUGCUCUUCUCUCUUCUCUCUUUCCUUUUUUUAUUUUUCAGAUCUGCUCCUGAAUUUCAGAUCUUCAUGUUCUGGUCCACUCUAAGCAGAAAGCCACAUAGUCUUUUGUGGCCUGCACUGAAAUUAUUCCUCUUUCUGGGUGUGACUUUGCUAAUCCAGUUUUGGCAAUUCGUGAUUUCUAUCUGUCAGCUUAAAUCAAAGGAUUACACGCGAAACUCCCCGGUGUAUUUUGCAGAAAGCUUCCUCCUUGUACCCAUUAAGUCGGAGAGAACUGGUUGUUCCAUCUGUCCGUUCUUUGUUCAGGACUUUUCUCUCUUCCUGCGUCAGCAUCAAGGGCGUCCACACAAGACAAAUUUCCAUUUGACUCUCCAGCAGUCCUCCCUCCCUCCCGUCUCCAAAGGCCGCUCGUCCCACGUCGGGGGCACGCCAGCGGUAGGUAUGGGAUUGAUUAGCCUCGUCUCUCAGUGUGUGUCACAGGCCCUCAAACAGCGGAGCCUGAUAUGAUCAGCGUCUCGGCCUCCGUCUCUCUUCAGUUUCCCUUCAGCUAAACUCAGGAGUUUACACGGUUGUUGG